ACGAAAGAACGAUCGCUAUCUUCUACGCUGUUGUCUUUUGGCCGACCACAGUAACAGAUGUUUCCUGAAUUCGCAAUUUACUUAGGCACGUACGAUUAGGCGAGGAAUUUAGCGAAUUCUAUUCUUCUAAAGAAAAGAAAUCUAUCAGAGCUUGAGAAGGAGAUAUUAUAUUGAUUGUAACUGCUGGAAUUUCAAUCAAAACCACACACGAGAUGAUGAGUUUAAAAUAAACUUUUUAUUCAUACUUAUUGUCCUUAACAUGUUAAGCAUGGGAUAUCUAUGCCCUGCAAAGAAAGAUAAUCCGCCUCCUAAAGUGAUACCUAAAUAUUGUAGCCUUCCAGCUGACAGCGGUUCUUGUUUCACAGAAGAAAUGGUAUGGAGAGCAGGAUUUAAAUGGAGAUAUCAUUAUUGGCCACCAACAAAAGAUUGUUAUAUUUUCCAGUACGGGGGUUGCGAAGGAAAUAAAAAUAAUUUCGUAGAUUAUGGAGA